GACGAACGCUGGCGGCGUGCCUAAUACAUGCAAGUAGAACGCUGAAGGAGGAGCUUGCUUCUCUGGAUGAGUUGCGAACGGGUGAGUAACGCGUAGGUAACCUGCCUGGUAGCGGGGGAUAACUAUUGGAAACGAUAGCUAAUACCGCAUAACAGUAGAUGUUGCAUGACAUUUGCUUAAAAGAUGCAAUUGCAUCACUACCAGAUGGACCUGCGUUGUAUUAGCUAGUUGGUGGGGUAACGGCUCACCAAGGCGACGAUACAUAGCCGACCUGAGAGGGUGAUCGGCCACACUGGGACUGAGACACGGCCCAGACUCCUACGGGAGGCAGCAGUAGGGAAUCUUCGGCAAUGGACGGAAGUCUGACCGAGCAACGCCGCGUGAGUGAAGAAGGUUUUCGGAUCGUAAAGCUCUGUUGUAAGAGAAGAACGAGUGUGAGAGUGGAAAGUUCACACUGUGACGGUAUCUUACCAGAAAGGGACGGCUAACUACGUGCCAGCAGCCGCGGUAAUACGUAGGUCCCGAGCGUUGUCCGGAUUUAUUGGGCGUAAAGCGAGCGCAGGCGGUUAGAUAAGUCUGAAGUUAAAGGCUGUGGCUUAACCAUAGUACGCUUUGGAAACUGUUUAACUUGAGUGCAAGAGGGGAGAGUGGAAUUCCAUGUGUAGCGGUGAAAUGCGUAGAUAUAUGGAGGAACACCGGUGGCGAAAGCGGCUCUCUGGCUUGUAACUGACGCUGAGGCUCGAAAGCGUGGGGAGCAAACAGG
rnacentral:rRNA from 1 species